AAAAAAAGAACAAACACAGUAAUGUUAAUGAGUUUAAUGAAAGAACCAGUUUUACAUGGGAAUCAUAUUGUAAGAAAGUCACAUAUCCAGGACAACAAGCUUUAUUCACAAUUCUCUUUCCCUAUCUAAAGCUAUUGUGCAUCUUUUGUUAGUAAUACUUGACUGUAAUCAAAAGCUCUCCACUUUCUCUGGGUUUUCACAUUUGGGACAGCAUGGAGCGCUACUGAAACGAUGCACACUGAACUCAACUAUUAUUGAGUGAUUGUUGUUGUGAUAAUAUCUGCUCUCCUUUUUUAUCAGAUAGUCCCUUGAGAUUUACAGUUCCGGGUAGGACGUUUCCAGAAUGCCAGGAUGAGGGCGGUGACGUCUGCAGUGGUAGUGAAACAUCUCUUGAUGCGAGUGUUUCCCUUCCUCUCAGGUUUCUCCCUCCAGUGCAGGUUUGGAGGCUGGUCCGGCUGCUCCCUCUUUGUUGCACGACUGUGGCAAGACGCUGGUGAAGGUGUGCGAACGUCAGAAGGGGGUGGAUGCAACAGCAGCUUCAGAAUAUUCGCCAAAGCAGUUGUGGAUGUGGAUAACAACAGUAUACAACAAUCUGUCCCUCUCUAUCUCCCCACACAUCCACCAACCACUGGAACACAUCUCCAAAGUUCUGCAGGGCCAGCUCAGCUUCCCCUCAGAAGAAGUGCUGCCACCUGCCAGAUGAAGGAGCCUUUUGAGAGGCAGCUGGCAUCGUGAUUGGACUGUACUUUGGUCUGUUCCAAUCCAGCUUCAGCUCCAGAGACGGCAGGCGGGACGAGUCAACGGAGGCCGGAUGGACGAAGACAUGCAGCUGAGUACAAUCCAGAAAACAACAGAGGAGGAGUGCAGGGCCCAGAGCCAGAACAACCAGAGUAGCAUAAAAACUCCUUUAACUUAACAUGUCAACAAAACAAAAACGUAUGAACAAAGUUUUCUGUUAGAGUUUGUGUUCUUCUAAGUUUAACUCCAAGAUUUUAAAUACUUUCAUUUACUGCAAAUGAAUAUCUACUCCAAAUGUCUCACUAAUAAUCAUUAUCAGCCUUAAAAACCCACAAAACACCCCUUUAUACUCGACCACACUUAGUACAGUCCGGUUCCCCCUUCUAUAAAUCUGCUUGGAAUCUUCCACUUCCUGUUUG
ensembl:lncRNA